GCUUGUCGCUGGCAUCAUGACGAUGCGGGAGGAAAGUCCGGGCAGCAUAGGGUGUCCCACUUCUGAAAAUGGAAGCUGUUGGUGACAGCAGGUUGAGGUAGAAGAAAACAACCGCCUGCCUUCAGGGUGGGUAAGGGUGAGAAGGUGGUGUAAGAGACCACCAGCUGAUGGGUGAUCAUCAGGCUGUACCCGCUGGGAGCUGCAAGUUCGCGUAUACCAUCGUCUGAGGGUUGCCCGCCCGACUCAUUCCGAUGGAGGGUAGAACGCUUGAGCCGACGGGUGACCGGCGGCCUAGAUAAAUGACAGGCAAUGAUGACUCGUCAUCAUACAGAACCCGGCUUACAGGGGUCCU
rnacentral:RNase_P_RNA from 1 species